UACGUAGGGUGCAAGCGUUGUCCGGAAUUAUUGGGCGUAAAGAGCUCGUAGGCGGUUUGUUGCGUCGGCUGUGAAAUCCCGAGCUCAACCUCGGGUCUGCAGUCGAUACGAGCAAACUAGAGUGUUGCAGGGGAGACUGGAAUUCCUGGUGUAGCGGUGAAAUGCGCAGAUAUCAGGAGGAACACCGGUGGCGAAGGCGGGUCUCUGGGCAA
rnacentral:rRNA from 1 species